UCCUACGGGAGGCAGCAGUGGGGAAUAUUGCGCAAUGGGCGAAAGCCUGACGCAGCGACGCCGCGUGUGGGAUGACGGCCUUCGGGUUGUAAACCACUGUCGGGAGGGACGAAUGCUCCGCAAGGGGAGUGACGGUACCUCCAAAGGAAGCACCGGCUAACUCCGUGCCAGCAGCCGCGGUAAUA
rnacentral:rRNA from 1 species